CAGGUUACACAGCCUCACCUAGUACAUCAAAAAAUGUGCCUAUUCUCUGCAAUUGCCAAGAGUCAGUGGGGCAAGUUUGUCAGGACAGAUACCCCUUAUUUCAUGGAGAUAUAGAUGUUGCAUUAUCAUGGUUAGGAUGACUACUUAUGAGGAUUAUGGCUUCCCUGAGGACAGGCACAAUCUCUGUAUCUUCAGUAUUUUGUAUUUUAACUAGGAGGGGUUUACUACUUAUUUAUGGAGAUUCCACUGAGAACAUAUGCAGUGGUGUAUCUUGGACACGGGCAAGGUUGCUCUACCCUAUGCUUUAAUGGAUUAAAAUAAGAUUGAUAUUGUUUCCCUAAGAAGAAACACCAGUCACCCUCAUGAUCAAGGGCAAGAAGAUUUUCUUUUCACUUUGUUCUUUGGCCUCUGUGGCCAUGAAGACCACAUCUGGCCUCUUCUGCUGUGCUUUCUGGUGCUCCGGCACAUAUUCAAGACACAAUGGGCAUCCAUGACUUCAAAUCUGCUCUUCUCUCAAUUAGAAAGG
rnacentral:lncRNA from 1 species